UUUCAUUCUUCUUUGUUGGAUUCUCACAGUUCUGUGUUCGAUCUUCUUUGGCUUGUACCUUUUCUUGAACAAUUUCUCGAGUGACACUUGCAAAGCUCUUGAGAUGUUCCAAGAAAAUCCCAACAACAACAGUCUAAGUUCUAUUCUCCCAUGUGAGCAACUUCUAACUGCAAAAUCAGUUCUCACUGAUGUAAGUUCAGAGAUUUAUGAUCUUGUUAAUCAGGUUAACACACAAAUUGCUAUAUCAUAUCCAGACAUUGCUUUGGUUUGUAAUCCUUUCUCACAA